rnacentral:rRNA from 1 species
AUUGAACGCUGGCGGAAUGCUUUACACAUGCAAGUCGAACGGCAGCACGGGGGCAACCCUGGUGGCGAGUGGCGAACGGGUGAGUAAUACAUCGGAACGUGCCCAGUCGUGGGGGAUAACGUAGCGAAAGCUACGCUAAUACCGCAUACGAUCUCUGGAUGAAAGCGGGGGACCGCAAGGCCUCGCGCGAUUGGAGCGGCCGAUGGCAGAUUAGGGUAGUUGGUGGGGUAAAGGCUCACCAAGCCGACGAUCUGUAGCUGGUCUGAGAGGACGACCAGCCACACUGGGACUGAGACACGGCCCAGACUCCUACGGGAGGCAGCAGUGGGGAAUUUUGGACAAUGGGCGAAAGCCUGAUCCAGCCAUUCCGCGUGCAGGAUGAAGGCCCUCGGGUUGUAAACUGCUUUUGUACGGAACGAACGGUCCUGGUUAAUACCUGGGCUAAUGACGGUACCGUAAGAAUAAGCACCGGCUAACUACGUGCCAGCAGCCGCGGUAAU